rnacentral:rRNA from 1 species
GUGGGGAAUAUUGGACAAUGGGCGAAAGCCUGAUCCAGCCAUGCCGCGUGUGUGAAGAAGGUCUUCGGAUUGUAAAGCACUUUAAGUUGGGAGGAAGGGCAGUAAGUUAAUACCUUGCUGUUUUGACGUUACCAACAGAAUAAGCACCGGCUAACUUCGUGCCAGCAGCCGCGGUAAUACGAAGGGUGCAAGCGUUAAUCAGAAUUACUGGGCGUAAAGCGCGCGUAGGUGGUUCAGCAAGUUGAAGGUGAAAUCCCCGGGCUCAACCUGGGAACUGCCUCCAAAACUACUGAGCUAGAGUACGGUAGAGGGUAGUGGAAUUUCCUGUGUAGCGGUGAAAUGCGUAGAUAUAGGAAGGAACACCAGUGGCGAAGGCGACUACCUGGACUGAUACUGACACUGAGGUGCGAAAGCGUGGGGAGCAAACAGGAUUAGAUACCCUUGUAGUCC